rnacentral:rRNA from 1 species
CACGCGGUAAACGAUGAAUACUAGGUGUAGGGGGUAUCAACUCCCCCUGUGCCGGAGCUAACGCAAUAAGUAUUCCGCCUGGGGAGUACGGCCGCAAGGUUGAAACUCAAAGGAAUUGAC